CCUAGAAGCGGCGGUAGGCUUAACACAUGCAAGUCGAACGGAAACGAUGAAGAGCUUGCUCUUCAGGCGUCGAGUGGCGGACGGGUGAGUAACGCGUGGGAAUCUACCCUAUAGUUGGGGACAACAUAUGGAAACGUAUGCUAAUACCGAAUAAUCUCUACGGAGUAAAGGAGCCCACUUCCUGAAAGGUUUCGCUAUAGGAUGAGCCCGCGUUAGAUUAGCUAGUUGGUAAGGUAACGGCUUACCAAGGCCACGAUCUAUAGCUGGUUUGAGAGGAUGAUCAGCCACACUGGGACUGAGACACGGCCCAGACUCCUACGGGAGGCAGCAGUGGGGAAUAUUGCACAAUGGACGCAAGUCUGAUGCAGCCAUACCGCGUGUGUGAAGAAGGCCCGAGGGUUGUAAAGCACUUUCAGUAGGGAGGAAGAUACUAGGGUUAAUACCCCUAUAAUUUGACGUUACCUACAGAAGAAGCACCGGCUAACUCUGUGCCAGCAGCCGCGGUAAUACAGAGGGUGCAAGCGUUAUUCGGAAUUACUGGGCGUAAAGCGCGCGUAGGCGGAUGAUUAAGUCAGUUGUGAAAGCCCUGGGCUCAGCCUCGGAACGGCAUCUGAUACUGGUCAUCUAGAUUUAAGAGAGGGAAGUGGAAUUCCAGGUGUAGCAGUGAAAUGCGUAGAUAUCUGGAGGAACAUCAGUGGCGAAGGCGACUUCCUGUCUUAAACUGACGCUGAGGUGCGAAAGCGUGGGUAGCGAACGGGAUUAUAUACCCCGGUAGUCC
rnacentral:rRNA from 1 species